UCUCUGCUGUCUGCUCCCUCUCAGUGCUCACUCUGCUGCAUCUGCUGUCUCUCUGCCUCUUUGCUUGCCCUCUGUGCUGUCUCCACAUUUGCCCUCUGCUCUCUCUGCCCUCUGCCUCUUUGCCCUCUCCCCAUCCCUUCUGUAUCUCCCUUUUUGCUCUCCAGGUCUCCUGGCUCUCUCUUCAGUUUUUUUACCCCUCUUCCCCCCUUGCCCUCGUCUCUUGCCCUCUAUCUUGGCAUCAAUAAAUGAACUCUGUGGCCAAAGGAUGAUGAGGAGCAUGGAUGUGCCUGUACCUGAGGUAGCUGACCCUGUUGCCCAAGAGCCUGUGUGUUUGCAGAGGUUGCCCACUCUCUGUCUGGGGUGGGACAACCCAUGGAGUUGAUGAUGGAGAGGAUCUCCUGGGCGCUGGAGGCAGCUGAGUGGUGCUGGCUGGCCCUUGGUGGGGAUGGCUGGUAAAUAGGUUUUUAACAGAUGUCCAAGCAGUGGUGAUGGGCAGAGCACCUGUUUUUGGGGAUUGCACUGACCUGGCCAAACCUCUUAUUGUUCCUUAAUCCUUAAGGAGACAUA